GGGCCCGCACAAGCGGUGGAGCAUGUGGUUUAAUUCGAUGCAACGCGAAAAAACCUUACCUACUCUUGACAUACUUGGGAGCUCUUGUAAUGAGAGUGUGCCUUAUGGAACCAAGAUACAGGUGCUGCAUGGCUGUCGUCAGCUCGUGUCGUGAGAUGUUCCGUUAAGUCGGAUAACGAGCGCAACCCUUACCCUUAUUUGCCAGCGAUUCGGUCGGGAACUAUAAGGGGACUGCCGGUGAUAAACCGGAGGAAGGUGAGGACGACGUCAAGUCAUCAUGGCCCUUACGAGUAGGGCUACACACGUGCUACAAUGGGGAAUACAGACGGACGCUAAGCCGCGAGGUGGUGCUAA
rnacentral:rRNA from 1 species